CAUUGAGCCGCCGCACACAAUUCAUCCCUUCCCGUAGAACUUCUUAGUGGAGAACCGCAGACCAUCGCCACCAGCGGCCUAACCCAGCAGCGGCACCCUAGGGAAGAACUCGCUACCUCUUACGGUAAGGCACCCUUGUCGCCAGCCUAAGAAGCAGAUCUAGGCGGGGAUGGCGAUGGCUGACUCCACCUCCCGGUUAGUCUCUCGUCUCCUCUAUCUUACUACUCUAGAUCUCAAUCUAGUUGUUCACUUUUUUUUUUGCUACUCUUCCUCUACCUUCAUCUCAUCGACUCAAUUUUGUUGCUUUGUUCUAGGUCAAGGUAUCGGUUAUUAUUUCCUCUAAUCCACUUGGUCUUAUUGAUUUGAUCUAGAUCAAGGUAUAUGUUCUACUACUCUAGAUCUCAAUCUAGUUGUUCUCUUUGUUUUGCUACUCCUUCCUCCAAUCGACUGUAUCUUGUUGCUU
rnacentral:lncRNA from 1 species